UUUUACGGCCAUAUCACGUUGAGGGCACCGGUUCUCAUCUGAUCACCAAAGUUAAGCAACGUUGAGCCUAGUUAGUACUUAGAUGGGUGACCGCUUGGGAAACCUAGGUGCUGUAAGUG
rnacentral:rRNA from 1 species